CGGAGGCUGGCUUUGAGGAGGGAGAAGCUGGAUGGGGAUUUAGGAGAAGAGGCAUCGGAGAAGUGGAACAAUCUGGGGCUGAUGCAUUUUUUUGGUGUUUUUGUUUUGCAUUGGAGUUUUGGGCUAUUGGGUACUGAUGAUGUAGGUGUUUUGGCUGUGGUUGUUCGGCAACGAAGACUCGGGUUUGAUACAGGUUGAGAUUGUAAACGGGGUGCUGAUGAAUCGGAGAAAAAUCCAAACUUGGAGCUUAUUCUUGAGCUAUGGUUACUGGAGGUACUGGGGGUGGUGGAAUUGUUGUUGCAAUCGUGGUGGUGUUGCUGCUUCUCUGUGAAUACAGUGGCUUCGCGCUCUCUAUGAAAGGAUGUGCAAAACGCCCUNNNNNNNNNNNAUUGUCAAAAACAAAAUUCAACGAGACUUGAUGGGUUAUCUGUGGAAGGAUUUGAUGCGGG
rnacentral:misc_RNA from 1 species